rnacentral:rRNA from 1 species
UCCUACGGGAGGCAGCAGUAGGGAAUAUUGGGCAAUGGGCGCAAGCCUGACCCAGCGACGCCGCGUGAGGGAUGAAGGUCUUCGGAUUGUAAACCUCUUUCAGUAGGGAAGAAGCGAAAGUGACGGUACCUAAAGAAGAAGCACCGGCUAACUAUGUGCCAGCAGCCGCGGUAAUACGUAGGGUGCAAGCGUUAAUCGGAAUUACUGGGCGUAAAGCGUGCGCAGGCGGCCUUGUAAGACAGAUGUGAAAUCCCCGGGCUCAACCUGGGAAUUGCAUUUGUGACUGCGAGGCUAGAGUGUGUCAGAGGGAGGUGGAAUUCCGCGUGUAGCAGUGAAAUGCGUAGAGAUGCGGAAGAACACCGAUGGCGAAGGCAGCCUCCUGGGAUAACACUGACGCUCAGGCACGAAAGCGUGGGGAGCAAACAGGAUUAGAUACCCUGGUAGUCCACGCCCUAAACGAUGUCAACUGGUUGUUGGGAAUUCAUUUUCUCAGUAACGUAGCUAACGCGUGAAGUUGACCGCCUGGGGAGUACGGCCGCAAGGUUAAAACUCAAAGGAAUUGACGGA